AAGCCUGCGGUUCAAUUGGAGUCAACGCCAGGAAUCUUACCCGGGGAGACAGCAGAAUGAAGGUCAAGCUGAAGACUUUACCAGACAAGCUGAGAGGAGGUGCAUGGCCGUCGCCAGCUCGUGCCGUGAGGUGUCCUGUUAAGUCAGGUAACGAGCGAGAUCCCUGCUUCUAGUUGCUUCAGUUAUUCUCAGGAAUAGCUGGGCUAACUAGGAGGACCGCCACUGCUGAAGUGGAGGAAGGAGGGGGCCACGGCAGGUCAGUAUGCCCCGAAACCCUGGGGCUACACGCGGGCUGCAAUGAUAGAGACAACGGGUUCCGAACCCGAAAGGGGGAGGCAAUCCUUAAACUCUAUCUCAGUUAUGACUGAGGGCUGUAACUCGCCCUCACGAAUAUGGAAUCCCUAGUAACCGCGCGUCACAAUCGCGCAGUGAAUACGUCCCUGCUCCUUGCACACACCGCCCGUCGCUUCAUCGAAGUUGGGUUUGUGCGAGGUGACGCCUAAUUGACGUCAUCGAACACGAGUUUAGCAACAAGGGAGAAGUCGUAACAAGGUGACCGUAGGGGAACC
rnacentral:rRNA from 1 species